UAAUAGGGAGAUGCUCCUCAGCAUAGGGA
rnacentral:piRNA from 1 species